AGCGCUUUUUUUGCGUUCACAUGCCCGCGCCGAUGUCCCAGCGACGCGGUAUCUACGCGGCCUCCAACUGCGGCGCAAUCGCCGGCGCCGGUGCCGGUGCCGGUGCUUCAAACGCCGCUUCCCCUCCCCUUCCGACUUCGUUGGUGAACGGCGAUGCCACGCCUCACCGGAACCACCUCCAUGACUCGCCGCACCUGGAAAAGGAGUCCCGCGGUGCAAUUGCUGGCGUCGGCGCUUCACAUGCCGCCUUCCCUCGUCCUCCCAUUUUGCUGAUGAAAUGCGAUGCCACACCUCGCUCGAAGUACCUCUACGACUUGCCGCACCUGGACAAGGAGAUAGUCUAUGGAUGGUAUGCUGAGGCCUUGGUGAAAUCUCUCAACCUCUUGAAAGUCGACUCCCACCCAGAGGUUCAGCAGCAAGUCGACUCCCACCCUGAGGAUACUACUGGAGCAAAUGGCCCUCCCCUCCUUGAAUACCAUAUUAUUCUCUCUCGACUUUUCACAUCUGCAGUGUCUGUUCCAAGGAUGCAGAAAUAUCCAGAAGUUCUUUGCUAUAUACUUGAUUGUUUGUCGAACAUAUGGACUCAAUCAGAAUGGAAGGCCAACUUGAUCAAUGCGUUCUGCGAUUGUCGGUUCAGAACAUCUUUCCUUAAUGUCUUUGUAUUCUUUGAGAAAGAGCUUGAAUUGUGUCUUAAGGGAAACUCUAGUGAAAUAAACCAAGAAAGCAGUAUAAGUUAUGCAACUUUGACUAACUUGUUGCGGUUGAUACUGCCCACUUUCUUAACGCUGCUUCAGUAUAUGCAAGCUCUCUGGACAAAAGCAGUCGCUUCUAAUAUACCGGAUGUACUCGAAGGUGCUAAAAGUAUGGUGUUCUCCGAAGGGCCAGGGGAGACUCUAAAAGUGCAAAACAUAGACAAGGAAGAACAGGAACAGAAUGCAAUAAGAAAUUGGUUAGAAACAACUCGCCAAAUUGGGUACAAUGUGAUUGGCAUGUGUGCACAACUUGAGGGAGUGUUUGAUCUGAUUUUAGAUAGUUCAGCUGUAUGUGGCAGCCUGAUGAAAGAUAUAAGUUCGAUGGGAUUUCAUCAUCUGACUUUACUCAUCCAGUCUACCAUUAUUCCACUGGUGAAAAAUUGUCCUAAAGAAUGUUGGGAAGAAUGGGUUGUUGAGCUUCUGUAUCCGGUGUUUGACUAUUUCCAUAACACACUUUAUGAGUCAUGGUGUGAUUUUUUGCAUGAGGGUUUAGUGCAAGUACCUGAUACCAUUGUUUAUGUUUUUGCAUCGGAAGACAAGGCCGAUGGCAAAACGGUUGGGGGCCUCCCCCACUGUUCCCAGUCAAAAAAAAAUAUAGAGAAGGAUCUUCUUAUCCAGUUGACCCAUGCAGCGUCGGAUUUGCUUGCUGUAAUAGCAUCCCCAGAAUUAAAUGGUGGGCUAGGCCUUACUACAUGUACACAGUUGGAUUAUAUUUGUUCAAGCUCCCUGGUUGGGUAUGUCCUACAUCAUGAUGGCCUUAGACUUCUGGUCUUAAGUUUAAUCUAUUACAUAUUUGGAGCAUGGAAGGAUGACAAAGCAAUAAUUACAUCAGUGCCAUUUUGUUGUCAAAUUGUACAAAUUGCUAAAGCUACACGUCAUGAGGAACUAAUAUCUUUUGUUAAAGAUGAUAUGAUUUCUCAUGUCAUUUGGUGUUUAACUCUUGAGUCAAGUUUGAACAGUACUAUACUUACUGAUCUUUGUCGAGACGCAUAUAAGUGUGUUCAAAAUCAGGAUUUAGUGUGCGGAGGAAAAUACAAUGGAAGCAGUGAAGAAAGCACUGAAGAAACCGCUGAAAAAAAAGUUGAAGAAAUCUUUCAAAGUUGGUUGUCCAGGCAAAUAUUUGAUGUCCGUUGUAGAAACACACCAUUUGAUAAUCAGGAUGAAUUUGUGCCAACAUGGGGGGAUGAAGACGAAUUUAGGGCUUAUAUUCCAGCUUAUAUCGACAUGUUGCAUCAAGUGGAUGAAAUGGAUGACUGCUUGAAGUGGGGUUAUUGUUCUCCGAGGGCUUUCUUUAAGAAAUUAAAGCCUGACUUUGCAUCGAGAUAUGAUAUUGAUAGCGAAUUUCAUGAUUAUGUCUCGACCAUGUCAGCAAUAUUCUCGCGCAAAAUUUCUGUAAAGCGUUGGCAGAGUCAGAAUGAUCAAAUGUACAAGUUCUUUUGUGAACUCAUUAGUUUGAAACCUUAUAUUCAGCAGCAUUCUAGUUAUGAUGAGAGUGUGCUGGAACUUGUGAAAAAUUUGGAGGUGUGUCCUGGUCUUGUUGAAUUUCUUAGGGUAUCUGCACUUGAGAAAUUCUGUGCAAUAUUAUCUUUGUGGGAGCCUCAGUUCCAUCCUAUGAUACGGGAGGGUCACAAGGAGGUGCUCAGAGAAAUAGUUCUUCACUUGACUCGUGUAGAAACAUUAACUUUUCUGCAGCCAUUGCAACCAGAUUUAAGUGAUUUUCCGGUGCAUCUGCGACGUUACGCAAUGAAUUAUAUUGAAGAUGAAAAUAAAAAGUAUCAUAUGGCAAAAGAACAAGCAAGAUUGCAUGAAAAGUUCGAUGAACUUGUGGCUUCAUCUGCAUUAGAUCAUUACAUCUGCAAGGUUAGUUCUUCAAUGGAUGAUGCACUAGAGGCUGUUCUUAAUGAUGAUCGUGUACACAGUCAGUUCUCAGUUCUGGAUCAUGAUCUCAUUAAGUUGUCUAUUAAGCGAAGAGCCAAACUUCUGGGUAGGAAGGAACAAUUAUUUUCAUAUUCCAAACAUUUGAGACAUGUUGUUGGCAGUGAUCAGCUGAAUAUUGGACUUCAAAGUUUGAUGAGUGAGUUGGAGGCCAAAGAUUUUUUCAACAUCACUGAUGAUUCUAUCGAUUGGGAUAAGAAAUGUUUUUCAGAACUUGUGGACAAAUUCAACAUGCAAGUUUUUGCUGGGCUCCAUCUUCCAGAUUAUGAUGUUAUUCGUGGAAUUAUGGAUUAUCGGGCAAUGUCAGCUAUGAAGGAUGCCUCAUGUUCAUGGGACCAUGUUUUUGAAAAGGUUGUUGGCGCACCAUAUCGUAGGUGGAUACAAAACACUCCUAUGUUUUGGAUGGACACAAGAUACUAUGAGCACCAGUACUAUGACAUCAUUCAACAACCAUUGAAAAAGGUUGCGUGUCUCUCUAGCUGGGUUUGGGCCUAUCCUCAUGCUUAUGGUGGACAACUGGACAUCUUAUAUUACGUUGACCAUUGCUGAUGCUUAUUAGAGGCACAAUGACGCAUAUGGCAGAUGUGCAAGUGCUUGAUAGGUGACGUCUCAGUGAGGUUAGAUGUCAAUGACUGUCCAGAUCAGCAAAAUAUGAGCGCAAUGGCAGCUGGACUGAGAAGCGGUGAGUGCCGAGAAUAUGGCAUUAGGAUUGAAUAUGGACAAAAAGAAGAUUCUCAACUGGAGCAUAGGUGCAAGUUGCGUGACCACCCGUGCCAUUUACUCUACGGGAAUACUUGCCACUGAACCCCCAGCUUGAGUGAUGGUUUCAUCUGACGUAGUAGUGAGUUGAGUUGGAACAAUUGUGUUUACUCUUUUUUUUUUUUGAGAUGGAACACUGACAUUCCAUUAACCUUGGUCGGCAGAAUUGCUGUACAUGGCCCUAGUUACAUACAUAGGUAAAGCAUCUAAGCACACACGGUGUAAACCUAUUGGUUCAGGUGCACCCAUUACGCCAGCGGAUGAGCUGGCAUAUUACGAUCACGCUUUUCAUAAACAAUCCGAGCCUCAAUAAAGUUCAUGCGCAUACGAAUUUGAAGUUCUCUGAAAAGGGCUCCCAGUGGCGCUGCAUCAUAAUCUGUUAAUAUGAUUUCAUUUGCAAGACUUGGCAGUCUGGUGAAAAGUUCUGCAAUCAGCAUGGACUGGAGGAGAGCUUCAGAUUCUGUGGCAAUGGCCUUACCUGCAUUUGCGAUAGCUCCUGCGCCGGUGAAAACAAGCUUGCUUUCAUGAUCCUAAGCAAGGCAACCCCAUCCACCCCUCUCCACAGUGGGAUGAAAUGCACCGUCAAGAUUUAUCUUGGUCCAUUCCUCGGCUGGAGGGUUCCAUUUCCCAACUCGUUUAUCAGUCGUUGGUUUCUUUAGGAAUUUUGCCCAUUCCCCUGUAUGCCUACCGACUAUGAACGCGAGUUCCUCGGGUGUUAGUUGUUGUUCCCCAUGGUUUGCCUUAUUCCUCUCCGUCCACCAACAGGUGGCCUCCAUCUUCGAACAUAGUGUGGCACAUAGGGCACCUCGUGUCCAGUUACAUCCUCUUUUGCUGAAUGUUCACUCGUGUAGGAAGAAGGAAAUGGUGAACUUUGGCCGGACAUUCCAGGCUCCACAACCGAUCCUAGACACUUCUUCUCCAACUGCUUCCUUGGACACCUUCUGACGAACCAGCUUGCCACUUUGCAUUACUG